rnacentral:lncRNA from 1 species
GACAAUCUUUUAAAAAAAGCUUUCUGUCUCCAUAACACUUUUAAUCACUAGUUCUUUGCUCUAACAUAUCGUCUAUACAUUUUCUUUCAAUCUCGGUCGAAACUCUAUUUUUCAAGCUUGCUCGAGUUUAUGAUUCUUCGAACAUAGACCUUCGACCAAAGCAUCUCGUUCACUGCCCCGCAACAGGGCAAAAAGUGGAUUCCCAAAUAAGGUCUCUUGCAAAACAUAGAGUCUCAUGGACUCGACACCGGCAU